CGUGCACUGAUGGGGUCCCUCGGCCUGGUCUGUGCCCUCUUGUAAUCCAGGACCCCUCGGGGGAUGUCAGAGAGCUGGUUUCAGCCCGAUCCCCACAGGCCAGGCCGAGGGACCCCACCAGUGCACA
rnacentral:pre_miRNA from 1 species